rnacentral:rRNA from 1 species
GGGGGGGGACUGCGGAAGGAUCAUUA